ensembl:lncRNA
UUCCUCCUCCAGGGGAUCUUCCCGACCCAGGGACUGAACCCACGUCUUCUUCACUGGCAGAAACAAAGCUUACAAAUGUGCAAGUGCUGGGAAAUCACAGAGGACGAGCUCCUGGUGCCAGAGAAAGGUGGCCCUGAUAGUGGCUAACUCCCAACCCAGCAAUCCCAAACCUGCCCCUUCAGUCCCUCCAGCACCAGAAACCAGGGAGUGGCCUUGCUGGGAAAAGAGAUGUUCAAGCUGGAUUUAGAAAAGGCAGAGGAACCAGAGAUCAAAUUGCCAACAUCCGCUGGAUCAUCGAAAAAGUGAGAGUUCCAG